UGUUGAGAUAAAUAUUAACAACAAUCGGCUGUUCAACGCCACUCUUUGAAACUUUCAGCCAAAUUUUUUAUCCUCUACUUGCAAUCUCAAGCACCUGAAACAAUUGGGGACUGGACUUUCCGUCAUUUUUAUUCACAUUAUUGUUCUGAUAGAAUUGUAAUUCCCAUGAUACAUGGAAGAUUUUUCAGAGAAUAUACAUUUGCAAGCAUUGAAUCGUGUUCCUUCUUUAAUACUUGUAUUCCAAGAAGUUGAAGAAUUGUGUUCAGAUUUGGCUCAGCUUUAGAUUUACUUGUCAUUAAUUUGCAGGCUGCCAAAGAUCUAAUUGCUCCAGCCCGGGGAAUUCCUCGUGAAGAUAUAUAUCAAGGAAAAUCCAAAUUGUUUGCUCAUCGUGACACCCAAAGGUGGCCGUCUAGGGUGGGUUGCUGCCUUGCUGGUGCUGAAGCGUCUGGGGUGGGUUGCUGCCUUGCUGGUGCUGAAGCUCCACUUGGCCCUACUUGGACUGCUACCGUAGUGAUGGAUAUCCUAGAGAAUCUGCCUAGUCAGUGACAAUAAUGGUCUCCGAUAGCGAUAAUUUUUUUAACAUAAAAAGAUAUUCCUGCAUUAUUAACGUGUUUUUAUUAAAAUAAUAAUAAUUAUAAACUCAAAAUAUAAUAUAUAUUAGAUGAUAUUACUUUUAAAUAUUAAUAUGAUAAUAUAUUAGAUGAUUUUUAAGACAA